AGUCUCUCUCUAGCUUUGGAGAGAGACGGACCUAACUGCCUGAAGGAGCAAAGGGUACUGUGGACAGAGCAGUGCUGGGGAGCUCAGGUCAGGUGACCUCCCAAGCUGUGGCCUGACAGGAAGGCCUAGAGAGCCUAAACACAGGGUGCAGGCUCAAGAGGGAGAAACCCCCAAGAGCAGUACUCCUCUAUCGGGGAAAGAACCUCUUUCAAGAGCCAGAGCACAGUUUCCAGUGAGAUGCAUGUGGAAGGGUGACAGGGACCUAUCCAAUAUAGCCUAGAUAACCUGAGUGCAGGCAUCAGAUGGCUCCAGCAUAAAAACAGGACAAGACAAUUUAUUAUCUACAGUUCAGAAAUGCCGACCCUUAUGGAUACUCCUGGCCUAGGUGGAAGAAGCUCUCUGAAACCAUCUUGGGCAAAUUACAGAAAAAACAGAAGAAAAGGAACAGGAACAGCAACAAAAAAGUGUGAAAAGCUACUUCCCAUGGAAAAAAUAUUUGGAAAGUAAGAAUAAUAAAUAAAUAAAAGGAAGGAUCCAUCAUUCUGCCCUGGACAUAAAUCGGAGCACAGAAGACAGUGAAGAGAGAUAACUCAACCAAAACCUAAGACGAGAGAAAGAGAGACAGGAUGGAUUCAAAAUUGCAGGUUGCCAUAUGAGAAUUGAGGGACAAGGACAAAACCUUGCCAAUUCACAAAAUACAACUGAAGAAUAUGAAAUUCCUACAGGUUCCAGGAGAAUCCUCUUGAACUCUCAGAAAAGAAUUUACCAGAAUUGACCUUGACUGUAUGGGUAAAAGUUUGUGAAAUAAUGAAACAAAUGGGGGGAAAUGCCUAGUCGACUUAAGCAACUUUCGUAAUAUUAUCCAAGAAAAAACACUGGGUAACACAAGGUACAAGGAAUCAAUGUACAUAGCCCUCCUGGGGAAGAAGGUUAGAACUUCAAUGAAGUGACUUUGAGCAGGAGGGUGCAGCAAACCUGUCAUUUAGAAGAGAAAUGAAAGGAUCUGAGACCUGUUGGUGGACACAGCCAUGCUGAGGAAAAAGGGAAUUCUGGAGGCCUGAAAUAAGAUGCAUAUUGCAAUGCUAAUAAAUGCCUGUUACUGAA